rnacentral:misc_RNA from 1 species
UUUUUGUCGUUCACAUCCCUCUAACUCUGUAUCGUAAUAGUACGUUGACAGAAUGGUGAUGCGCUCAGUCGGCAUCACAAAGAUCCCUUCACGACGAGUAGGAAGCUCCUCUAGCUUUCUUAAGGUAUCAUCGCCCUUUGUGACCCUUCCAAAAAUGGCAUACUCCCCAUCAAGGUGAGGCGCAUCUCCGAGAAGAAUUGAGAAAGAAGAUGA